AACGCUGGCGGCGUGCCUAAUACAUGCAAGUAGGACGCUGAAGAGAGGAGCUUGCUCUUCUUGGAUGAGUUGCGAACGGGUGAGUACGCGUAGGUAACCUGCCUUGUAGCGGGGGAUAACUAUUGGAAACGAUAGCUAAUACCGCAUAACAAUGGAUGACACAUGUCAUUUAUUUGAAAGGGGCAAUUGCUCCACUACAAGAUGGACCUGCGUUGUAUUAGCUAGUAGGUGAGGUAACGGCUCACCUAGGCGACGAUACAUAGCCGACCUGAGAGGGUGAUCGGCCACACUGGGACUGAGACACGGCCCAGACUCCUACGGGAGGCAGCAGUAGGGAAUCUUCGGCAAUGGGGGCAACCCUGUCCGAGCAACGCCGCGUGAGUGAAGAAGGUUUUCGGAUCGUAAAGCUCUGUUGUAAGUCAAGAACGAGUGUGAGAGUGGAAAGUUCACACUGUGACGGUAGCUCUAC
rnacentral:rRNA from 1 species